ACGGAGGAUCCAAGCGUUAUCCGGAAUUACUCGGCGUAAAGAGUUGCGUAGGUGGCAUUGUAAGUCGGUAGUGAAAGCGUGGGGCUCAACCCCAUACACAUUAUCGAAACUGCAAAGCUAGAGGAUGAGAGAGGUUAUUGGAAUUCCCAGUGUAGGAGUGAAAUCCGUAGAUAUUGGGAGGAACACCGAUGGCGUAGGCAGAUAACUGGCUCAUUCCUGACACUAAGGCACGAAAGCGUGGGGAGCAAACGGGA
rnacentral:rRNA from 1 species